rnacentral:lncRNA from 1 species
CGCUUUUUCUAUUUCUGCUUUUGAAAUUAAAUUAUCAAGUUCAGUAAAUAUUUUUUCUCUUUCCAUGUCUUUUAUCUUAUCUUUUAAAUAAUCACAGGAUGCAUUAGUGUCUUUUUCAUUUAAAUUUUUAAAAUAAGAAAACCAAGCAUCAGUUGACACAUCAGAUGUGGUAUUCUCCCUAUUUGUAUCUGAUAACUCAUGAAGCAGUGCCCAAUAUUGACUUGGAUUUUCGUCUUUUAAAUUAUCUAAUUUAUCUAUUAAAUCUUGUCGAAAAUCCCUUAUUUUUUU